ACACACACUCAGAUGGAAGUGAAAGUCUGACAUUGGUAUUGUGGCGGAGGAUAGAUUUUAACGCGUGUCACUCUUGACGCCUUCCAUUACUGGUGAUUAAGUGAAGGAGACUAAUCCAGCGUGAGAAAUGUUGUACCAGCUGCCACAAACCAAACCGGGCUCGUCCUCAGCUGCUGAGCGAACUCGGUUGGUACAGAAACGACAGAGUGGCUGCUGGGAUGUGGAGGAGUCAAAGACUUACGCUGAAGGAGACGGUGAUCGCAAACUUGAAUUGUGAAAAAAAAAGGAGGUUUUUGUAUCAGGAGACAGAAAAACAGGGACAGGCCCCCCCACAUACCGUCCAGUCUUCUUUAGAAAAACAAACGUCUUCAUCUCCAGCAGACACACACACUUGGAUAUACCCUGACACUUCAUGUUACUAUUGCUGGAUGGAGGUUGUCAUGGGAACACAUCUUUGACAGUUUCCUCUGCUCACUCGCAGCGAAAAAACACAGAAACUCACUCAGGAGGCAGAGGAAGUGCAGGCGUUAGCAGGACGUAAAAGGGGCAACAAGAAUCAUCAGGAGGCAUCAGUGAGGGACAGUUGAAUGCAUCCAUACGGUGGCUAGGUGUAUAUUUUAGACUGUUGUCAAAUUAUCAUCGUCAGUUACCGCCUACAGAGUUUCAAUUUACCUGAUUUCAUAGAUCCCUGAAUGAAAACAACAACGUCAUAUGCACUUUUCAAAUGACAUGCUUCAGUAGUUUUAUGGUUUAUGGUGUAUCGUAAAUGUAGCUGGAGUCAGGAGCUGGAUAACUUAACUCAACAAAGACUGGAAACUUGUGGAAACAGCUUGUCUGGCUUUGUCCAAAGGUAGCAUAUUAUUUCUAUCUAUUUCUUUUGCUGGGACCAGUUGCCAGGCAACCAGAGGAGACUCCUGGAAGUUGCUGGUGUUGGCCAAGAAAAAGUCUGGCUCCAAAACCCCUCGUGAAACGAUGAAUUGUGUGAAUUAAACAAACAAGAUAUAACAUGCUAAUUAACGAGCUUUAGAGGUCCUGGUAAGCAUAUUUUGUUAACUUCGGACAGAGCCAGGCUAGCUGUUUCCCCCUGUUUCCAGUCUUUGUGAUGAGCUACGCUAGCCAGCUGCUUUUCCAAAAAUGUCAAACUAUUCCUUUAAGUUUGAAAAAGAAAUCAAAAUGUUAACGCUCCAACUCUAAGUCUAUUUUUUAUAGUUUCAUUGGUUUGAUGAAAAACUAGGUUCAUAAAAGGUUGUUUGAACUUGCAGAGUUCUCGUCCGUGUGUACCAAUAGUGUAAUCUACAUAUGUGUUUACAUUCAUGAUCGACUUUGCUGAGUUGUACUGCAAAGUGAGAAUGACGGAUCGCCCCAGCACCAGAGACAUGUGGUGCUCUUACAGAUAAUGAAUUGCAGACUCAGUCUCUCUGCUCCCAUCUGUCUGGUUGUCUGUCUCCCUGUCAGAGAUUUAGGACUCUCAACAUUAAGCCUGCCAUUACUCCCAAAAAGAUGCUCAGUAAUCACAUCAUGAGUGCAACAGAAAAACAUUUGCAUGCAUGUGUGCGG